rnacentral:lncRNA from 1 species
GAAAAGUGGACAUGAGACCAAAAAAUUAUUAUUUUUGGCUGUCCGCAUCAAAUAAGUAAAAACUUGAGUUUCUGGAAUUCCAAAUGAUUGUCUGGAUGCUGUUCAGUUGUGCUAACUAGACCAGAUUUUUGGGGUCAGUCUCAUUUGGCUUUGUUCAGCUACACAUGGCUUCAGUAUAAAACAGGGCCAAAAUGAAAGAAUACGCUUCCUUAGUCCACAUUUUUUACUUGGUGAAAAAAUGAAGAGCUUCACCCUCAGGGUUACAAUGACAACUUUCUCCACUUUUCUCAGAAGUAGUUGAAAAGUAUCUUGUCAGCAUCAUUGCCUGCUUUAACAGGUGCUGGGAGGGGGACAAGCAACCACAGGUGUAGGGCAUAGAAAAGUCAUCUGAAAAAAUGUCCUUAAAAAGUCCAAGUUUCUCGUCUGUUGUGUCUGUCCUUUGUAGACAAAUCAGUGUGCUAUGAACUGACAACCCAACUGAUAUGCCUCUGGCCUAAACCAACAUCACCAGCCCAAGCUCCUUUCUCUUACAACCUCUCAUACACUUCCAUCCCCUUGAUUCCAGUGCUUCUCAAGCAUUAAUGAGUGUAUGAAUCACCUGAACCUUGUUAAGAGGUAGAUUUUUCAUUCAAUAGGAUUGUGCUGGAGGGCCGCAUUUCUUACCCAUUGGUAGGAGAAGCCAGUGGCUACCGGUCUGCAGAUCACACUUUUGAGUGGUAAGGCUCUAUUUCUUUUAUAAUUGAUAGUUGAGAGGAUGAAGGUAGAUUUUGGAGGAAGAGAAGAGACAAUUGAUUUCUUUCUCCUUUUCCCACACGCUUCACAGUGAAACAAUUGCUUCAUUUCUUUGCCAACCACAAGAAACAAUUUUCAACUGGGACACUGAAGCAGACUCGAAAGGUGCUGUUCCACUCUUAGAAGCAGAAGAGUAUGAAGGCCCUCAUACUCCAAAGCAAGUAACCAGGCAUGGUAUUUUGUUUUUCUAUUUUUCUUUUUGGAUGGAAAGUAGGCAAAGGAAGGAGUUACCAUUGUCAUUGAACGUGGUCUUGAAUACCUUAAAGAGGGGCUGCUGCAACACAGUGUGGGAAGAUGGGGUAUGUAUAUAUUGAUGCGGUUCCUUGGAUCAUCUUCUGGUAUUUUCUUGAGAGCUGAGGAGUCUUAUUGCAGUAAACCCACUGGCAAUAUUAAAGCAUAUGAGAGUUCCAAACCUUAAGAAGCAAGUGACCUAGAGUGAAGUCCUAGCUAACGGUGAGAAAGUAUAGGAAUGGUGACAGAAGAAGAGGAAAAUAACUAUUGCCUCUACAUUUUAAACUAGGAAAUUGUCUCAAUAACUUUGCAUAUUAAGUCAUUUUAUGUAUCCUAGAAAAAAAAUUUUUAAUAAAUAUAUUAUGGA